GUUAUGGUGGGCACUCUAAGGAGGACUGCCGGUGACAAACCGGAGGAAGGUGGGGAUGACGUCAAGUCAUCAUGGCCCUUACGGCCUGGGCUACACACGUGCUACAAUGGUCGGUACAAAGGGUUGCCAAGCCGCGAGGUGGAGCUAAUCCCAUAAAACCGAUCGUAGUCCGGAUCGCAGUCUGCAACUCGACUGCGUGAAGUCGGAAUCGCUAGUAAUCGUGAAUCAGAAUGUCACGGUGAAUACGUUCCCGGGCCUU
rnacentral:rRNA from 1 species